AUGGAGCAAUUCUAUGAUUACAGGAUGACUGAAGAGCGCUCCGUGGUUGAGCAAGCUCAUGAGAUACAGUCAUUUGCUAGAGAACUUGAGCACUUCACUUGUACGGUACCGGACAAGUUUGUUGCCGGGGGUAUCAUCACUAAGCUUCCUCCUUCAUGGAGGAACUUUGCUACCUUACUGAAGCAUAAGAGGCAGGAGUUUUCCGUCCCGGAUCUCAUUGGCACUCUUGAUGUGGAAGAAAAGGCGAGAGCAAAGGACACACGUGCUCGAGGUAUUGAGGGAGGAUCUAGUGCCAAUGUGGUACAGAAGCAGAACUUCCAGCCCCACAAGUUCAAGAACAAGGGCAAGUUUGAUGGUAAAGCAAAGUUUGAUGGGAAGAACAAGGCUGUGCAACACACGAACUUCAAGAAGAAGAAUGGCAAGAAGAAAGGUGCUUGUCAUGUGUGUGGAGAUCCUGAUCAUUGGGCUCCUAGUUGCCCCAAUCGCUAUGACAAGCGUCAUUCUGGGAAAGGCGGCAAGACCGCUAAUGUUGUCAUCGGAGACAUUGACAUGAAGGAUGCUGGGUAUGGUAUAUAUCCUACUAUUCUUUCAGUAUGUCAUUCUCCUGAUUGGUUAAUUGACACGGGUGCUAAUGUGCAUGUAUGCGGUGAUAUUUCCAUGUUUUCGUCUUAUCAGACCGCAGGAACUUCAACCGUGCUGAUGGGCAACGGUUCAAGUGCUUCUGUUCGUGGUGUUGGCACGGUCGAUCUGAAGUUUACUUCGGGGAAGAUCGUGCGGCUGAAGAACGUGCAUUUUGUCCCCUCCGUCAAUAAAAAUCUUGUUAGCGGAUCUCUUCUGUGUAGAGAUGGCUACAAGCUUGUCUUUGAGUCGAAUAAAUUUGUAAUAUCCAAGUAUGGAACCUUUGUUGGUAAAGGCUAUGAGUCAGGAGGCCUGUUUCGUUUAUCCUUAUCAGAUGUUUGCAAUAAAGUUGUUAAUCAUAUUUGCAACAAUAGUGAAUCAAAUGUGUGGCAU
rnacentral:rRNA from 1 species